rnacentral:lncRNA from 14 species
GGAGCACCCGUGGCACCGGUAACAGCCGCUCAUGGCCAACAUGGAUCCAUGGCAUGGGAGGGACCUGCAGGCUCCGGACCCCGUUGCUUGGGUCCCCCGGCCCGGCCCCGGUGCCAGCAGCACUGCCAUGUGCCAAGCGGCAGACGUGCCCGUGCCAGGGACGCUGCUCCUUCGUUAUCUCUGCCCUGCCGAUCGCAGGGGCCGGUGCCAGGCGCUGGAGAGGUGCCCAGGGAGCCUGGCUCUGCCCCAGCCAGGCCGCGGCCAUGGUGGGGCCUGGAGGAGCUGCUCUGUGCCUGCCCCAGGUCCCCAUCACUGCCUCCGAGGGGCAGGGAAGCCUCUAUCAUCCCUUGGUCCCCUCUCCCUGUGUGUGUUUCAGCAGCCACAAACCCUCUACCUUCUGCUCCCUGCAGUGUUCCUAAGGGGGAGCCCGGAGGUGGUUGGGGAGGAGCAGGGUUCAUGGUGCAGCUGGAUCCCAACCUGGUUGGGGUUGGAAGGGACCUUAAAGCUCCUCCAGUUCCAACCCCACUGGGCUUAAGUGGACUUGAGUGUGGCUUUUGUCUUCCUCUCGUUACUUGCCAGAGCCAGUGGGUGAAAUCAGACCUGUGGAGAGCUUCAGCUGCUUCCACUGGAGGUUCAGGUUGGCUUCGUGGGCAGCAGGGAGGAUCAGUUUGUGAGAGCUGCUGGAGCUGCAGGGUUUUAGUGCAGAAAACGUUCCAAACACUUUGUUUCAUGGAGUGCUCAUUGCUGAUGCCAAACAGCAUCAUCGCAUCCCCAGCCUGCAUGGGGUGGCUGGAGUCACCUGUUAGCACUGUCCUCCUGCCCGCCUGGCCCUCAGGAUGAUGGGGUCACUGGUCCCAUCCUGGUUAGGCAGUUGUUGUCAGCAGUUGUUGUCAGCCUUUGUUCUGUGUCCUCCCCACUUGAGGCACUUCAUUAGGGACAGUUUCACACUGCACUGGUGGUGGUUGUGGCACAGUGAGACCUGAGGAGUGAGGAACACUUCGGUGCUGCUGUAUCAGAGAUUGUAAUAUCAGAGUGGUUGGGUUGGGUUGGAAGGGACCUUAAAGCUCCUCCAGCUCCAACCCCAACCCCUUCCACUGGAGCAGCUGCUCCAAGCCCC